GGCGGAGGUCGCGGGCUGGGAAAACGCCCUCUGCGCUAGGAGAGGUGAGGGGCGUUCAGAAGUGGAGGGCAGAGGGGCUGGAGCGGGUGAUACUUGUCCGGUGUCAGGCCUUCGCGGUCCCGUGACCAGCUACGAUGCCUACCUCUGUGCCCCGCGGGGCGCCUUUCCUUCUCCUACCACCUUUACUGAUGCUGUCUGCUGUGCUGGCAGUGCCUGUGGACCGCGCAGCACCUCAUCAGGAGGACAACCAGGCCACUGAGACCCCGGACACAGGCCUGUACUACCAUCGGUACCUCCAGGAGGUCAUCAAC
rnacentral:lncRNA from 1 species